rnacentral:lncRNA from 1 species
AAAUUUGUGGAGCUAAUCUAGACCUAGGAAAAGACCUAAAAAAUGGAUUGACAUAAAAGAGUAGUGGUUGCGUCUUUCUCCUUCUGGACUCAACAUAUACACAAACACACACAGUGAACAGAUAUAGAGAGCACGAGAGAGAUACAAGGGAAAUUAUCUUUUUACUUCCUAGCGAAGAAAAACACAAAAGCUCUUUCUGAUUUAGAUCUCUUCUUCCUCAAUUUAAAGAAAAAUACAAAUUCCCGAAGCUCCAGAUCUGGUCGGAAAUGGCAGAUAUGUCAUUCUAGUUUGUGAUAUUUCGGGUAAUGUUUGUUCGACUAAUCUCCGAUGUUCUCUAUUGAAGUAUUUCCGCCGCUACUGAUUUCCCGAAAACUUGUACAUUUUCGUGCGAGUUUCUCGUUUAUCCGAAUUCGGUUGGCGUGGUCGUUGGGUCGAGUACCAGUCAAAUCUUCUGUUUCCUUUUGAAUUUUGUUGAAGCUUUACAUUGUAAUCCAAGAUUGAAAAUUCAAUAUUAACAGGAAAGGAAAUUUCACUAUUAAGGCUUAUUCCUCUACUCCCGUUUAUAUUUUAAUUGCUAUGUCAUAAAUAUAUCGUUUUUGAAGCAUAAAACUUGCUAAGGUUAUUCAUUCUGAUUUUGAGUUUCUAUCACUUGGCUAUUUUUUGGUCUGGCCUGUUUACU